AACGCUGGCGGCGUGCCUAACACAUGCAAGUCGAACGUGAAAGGGGCUUCGGUCCUGAGUAAAGUGGCAAACGGGUGAGUAACGCGUGGGUGAUCUACCUCUGAGUGGGGGAUAACCUUCCGAAAGGGGGGCUAAUACCGCAUGACAUCCUGUUCUUGGAUGAACGGUGAUCAAAGCUGGGGACCGCAAGGCCUGGCGCUUGAAGAGGAGCCCGCGUCCGAUUAGCUAGUUGGUGGGGUAACGGCCUACCAAGGCGACGAUCGGUAGCCGGCCUGAGAGGGCGGACGGCCACACUGGGACUGAGACACGGCCCAGACUCCUACGGGAGGCAGCAGUGGGGAAUUGUUCGCAAUGGGCGCAAGCCUGAUGACGCAACGCCGCGUGGGGGAUGAAGGUCUUCGGAUUGUAAACCCCUGUUGGGUGGGACGAACAGUUUCCGGGUCAAUAGUCACGAGGACUGACGGUACCGCUUGAGGAAGCCCCGGC
rnacentral:rRNA from 1 species